UACGAAGGGGGCUAGCGUUGUUCGGAAUCACUGGGCGUAAAGCGCACGUAAGCGGAUCUUUAAGUCAGAGGUGAAAUCCCAAGGCUCAACCUUGGAACUGCCUUUGAUACUGGGGAUCUUGAGUCCGGGAGAGGUGAGUGGAACUGCGAGUGUAGAGGUGAAAUUCGUAGAUAUUCGCAAGAACACCAGUGGCGAAGGCGGCUCACUGGCCCGGUACUGACGCUGAGGUGCGAAAGCGUGGGGAGCAACAGG
rnacentral:rRNA from 1 species